GUCCAGACUCCUACGGGAGGCAGCAGUGGGGAAUAUUGCACAAUGGGGGAAACCCUGAUGCAGCGACGCCGCGUGAGUGAAGAAGUAUUUCGGUAUGUAAAGCUCUAUCAGCAGGGAAGAAAAUGACGGUACCUGACUAAGAAGCCCCGGCUAACUACGUGCCAGCAGCCGCGGUAAUACGUAGGGGGCAAGCGUUAUCCGGAUUUACUGGGUGUAAAGGGCGUGUAGGCGGGAGAGCAAGUCAGACGUGAAAUUCCAGGGCUCAACCCUGGAACUGCGUUUGAAACUGUUCUUCUUGAGUGAUGGAGAGGCAGGCGGAAUUCCGUGUGUAGCGGUGAAAUGCGUAGAUAUUAGGAGGAACACCAGUGGCGAAGGCGGCUUACUGGACUGUAACUGACGUUGAGGCUCGAAAGCGUGGGGAGCAAACAGGAUUAGAUACCCCAGUAGA
rnacentral:rRNA from 1 species